GUGAGACAGAGAGAUGUAGAGCACUAAAAAAGUAUAGUGUACCUGUAAUUGAUGUAACUGUGUGUAUCAUAGGUGAUGUUAACUAUUUAAUCGGUAUUAUGCAUUUGUUAGCCCACCCAACAAAGUUCACCACCAGCCGCCACUGGUGAUGCCUUCAGGAGCAGCGGGAGAAGACACUGUCAGAAUGUCAAUGACUAAAAUGAGACACAGAAUGAAAACAGAGAGACAGAACUGUCACGAAACGGGAGGGAGAAGAACUUUAACUAUUAAAGGUCAUUUAAUGAGCAGCUACACAUUCUGAGGGUCCAAUCAGAGAGCAGCUACAUGUAACGGGGUAACAAUCCCACUAGUUUCCCCAAACUUUUGUCUUCCCCACACUUUUUAAGACCCUGAACUCACCAGGUCAUGUGACACACCCACAUGACCAUGGUAGCCAAUCUUGUGCCACCAGAGCAUAUUGAAGCUCCCCUUGCUCCUCUCAUCCAGUGUUGCCAACUUAGCGACUUUCUCGCUAAAUCUAGCGACUUUCCAAAGCGUCCUAGUGACGUUUUUUCAUCAAAAGCGACAAGCAACAAAUCCAGUGACUUUUUCUGCCUUUUUGGAGACUCUGACAGGAAAACUGGGAUCAUUCUGCAGUUACUGUUUUCAACCAGCAGCAGGUGCUGCUGUGAGCUCCUCCCCCUCCCAGAGCACAGACUGUCAGUCCAGUAACCCCACAGCAGACCCAGUGAGGGGAGGGGGAGACCCACAUCACUCCGCGGCCAGACGGCAGAUGAAUCACGCAUACACAGUCACUACAGAUCCCAUCCAGACUUACGGAGCGGAAUAUAAAUGAAAAUGUUUCUUCUCUGUCAUACUAAAAUAAACCACAGCAUUUAGCCUCUAGUACAAAAACAUAUUGUGGGUGUUUUAUACUCACUUUUUGGUCUCUUCCACGUUAUUCCUCUCUCCUACAACGUUGAUUACAAUUACAUGUAAACUGAGAAAUAUGCAAAUUAGGCGAUGACGUCAUUUAGCGACUUGUAGCGACUUUUAGGACAGCCAACAGCGACUUUCCUUACUGAGGAGUUGGCCACAGUGCUCUCAUCCUCAGUUGUUGGGAGAGAAGCAAGGAGGAAGCAGCUGCAGAACCAGACCAUAUGCUCGUUGGGGACCUCUGUUGCUUUGUGUGCACUCUUGCUAUCUGAACUGGCCAGGUGCUCCUCCUUUGCCUUACGCUGCCAUGCGGUCCAACCACUGAUGGCGAGCUUGAACAAGGCCAGGAGCCUACGGAAGCCCGAAGCGACUCGACUCAAUUCCACCAUUAAUGGUCUGGUAGGAGGCUUCUGCAGCCUUCCUUGAACUCUCAUCUCCUCAAUCGAGCCAUAUUCCCCCACUCACUCAAUUCUUCCUGGACAUUCAGCGCUCUGUCUCCAACUACACUCUUCUUAAUAACUACGUCGCUCAUAUGGCACAGGUGUACCGGACCUUGGUUUUUAUUUAAAACCUGGAACUGGAAUGAACUGUUUCUCAUUGUGCACAUAUGAUUUUGCCGGUUUAAAAUUUGUAUACUCUGUAAAUAUUAUGUUCCUUUGUCAAAUCACUUUAAUAAUUAAUUUAAUAUAA